rnacentral:tRNA from 1 species
GGGGCCUGUAGCUCAAUUGGUUAGAGCCGGCGGCUCAUAACCGCUUGGUUGGGGGUUCGAGUCCCUCCGGGCCCACC